GUAAUACUACCUUCAUCUCAAAAUACUUGUUCUAGAGAUGAAUGUAUCUAGACUUAUUUUAAUUAUAGAUACAUCCAUUAUAUGCAUUUUUAAGACAAGUAUUUCCGGACGGAGGGAGUACAAA
rfam:Hordeum vulgare subsp. vulgare, WGS project CAJW01000000 data, contig: morex_contig_1583649